UACGUAGGGUGCAAGCGUUGUCCGGAAUUAUUGGGCGUAAAGAGCUCGUAGGCGGUUUGUCGCGUCGGCUGUGAAAACUCGGGGCUCAACCCCGAGCCUGCAGUCGAUACGGGCAAACUAGAGUGCUGUAGGGGAGACUGGAAUUCCUGGUGUAGCGGUGAAAUGCGCAGAUAUCAGGAGGAACACCAAUAGCGAAGGCAGCUCGCUGGGACGGUACUGACGCUAAGGCGCGAAAGCGUGGGGAGCGAACAGG
rnacentral:rRNA from 1 species